AUUGAACGCUGGCGGAAUGCUUUACACAUGCAAGUCGAACGGCAGCACGGACUUCGGUCUGGUGGCGAGUGGCGAACGGGUGAGUAAUGUAUCGGAACGUGCCCAGUCGCGGGGGAUAACGUAGUGAAAAUUACGCUAAUACCGCAUACGAUCUCUGGAUGAAAGCGGGGGAUCGCAAGACCGCGCGCGAUUGGAGCGGCCGAUAUCAGAUUAGGUAGUUGGUGGGGUAAAGGCCCACCAAGCCAACGAUCUGUAGCUGGUCUGAGAGGACGACCAGCCACACUGGAACUGAGACACGGUCCAGACUCCUACGGGAGGCAGCAGUGGGGAAUUUUGGACAAUGGGCGAAAGCCUGAUCCAGCCAUUCCGCGUGCAGGAUGAAGGCCCUCGGGUUGUAAACUGCUUUUGUACAGAACGAAAAGGUUUCUACUAAUACUAGGAGCUCAUGACGGUACUGUAAGAAUAAGCACCGGCUAACUACGUGCCAGCAGCCGCCGCCG
rnacentral:rRNA from 1 species